GCUUGUCUCAAAGAUUAAGCCAUGCAUGUCUAAGUAUAAAUGAUUUUAUAUUUGAAACUGCGAAUGGCUCAUUAUAUCAGUUAUAGUUUAUUUGAUGGUCCUUACUACUUGGAUAACCGUAGUAAUUCUAGAGCUAAUACAUGCAUCAAUCCCCGACCUCUGGAAGGGGUGUAUUUAUUAGAUGGAAACCAAUGCGGGGCAACCCGGAAUAUGGUGAAUCAUAAUAACUGUCGUAUCGAGCAAUCGAAGCGCCAUACAAGUUUCUGCCCUAUCAGCUUUGGAUGGUAGGGUAUUGGCCUACCAUGGCUUUAACGGGUAACGGAGAAUUAGGGUUCGAUUCCGGAGAGGGAGCCUGAGAAAUGGCUACCACAUCCAAGGAAGGCAGCAGG
rnacentral:rRNA from 1 species